GACGAACGCUGGCGGCGUGCUCAACACAUGCAAGUCGAGCGGUAAGGCCCUUUCGGGGUACGACGAGCGGCGAACGGGUGAGUAACACGUGGGUGACCUGCCCUCAGCUCUGGGAUAAGCCUGGGAAACCGGGUCUAAUACUGGAUAUGACUCCAUGACGCAUGUUGUGGGGUGGAAAGCCUUGUGCGGCUGAGGAUGGGCCCGCGGCCUAUCAGCUUGUUGGUGGGGUGAUGGCCUACCCAAGGCGACGAC
rnacentral:rRNA from 1 species